rnacentral:misc_RNA from 1 species
GAAAUGCGAUACGUAGUGUGAAUUGCAGAAUUCCGCGAAUCAUCGAGUUUUUGAACGCAAGUUGCGCCCGAGGCUUGUCCGAGGGCAUUUCCGCUAGAGCGUCACCGCGCCCCCCCCACCACGCUCCCUAAGUUACUUGGGAGUUUGAGUGGAACUGGCCGUCCCGGAAAUCGGGUCGGCUGAAAUGGAGGGGAAUUUGGCCGCCGUGGUAGUACAGCCCGCGAUCAGGUGAUCCAGGUGUUGAAAAACCUGGAACUCAAACGUGCGCUGGCUGUGGCACCCAGUUGGUCGACUCCAAAGCAGGUCCCCUACCGACACUCCGGCCGGAAAAGGCCGGACAGAUGGAGGAAGGAGAAACGUCACGCAUCAGACCUCUGAUCAGAGAAGACUACCCGCUGAG